AUUGAACGCUGGCGGCAGGCCUAACACAUGCAAGUCGAGCGAGCGGCGGACGGGUGAGUAAUGUAUGGGGACUGCCCGAUAGAGGGGGAUAACUACUGGAAACGGUGGCUAAUAACGCAUACUAUCGGAUAACCCAUAUGGGAUUAGCUGGUAGGUGGGGUAAAGGCUCACCUAGGCGACGAUCGCUAGCUGGUCUGAGAGGAUGAUAGGCCAAACUGGAACUGAGACACGGCCCAGAUUCCUACGGGGGCAGCAGUGGGGAAUAUUGCAAAAGGGGCGAAAGCCUGCUGCGGACAGGCCGCUGGUAGGAAGAAGGCCUUAGGGUGUAAAAGUACUUUAAGCGGGGAGGCGUUACCCGAAGAGGAAGCACCGGCUAACUCCGUGCCAGCAGCCGCGGUAAUAC
rnacentral:rRNA from 1 species